GCUUUCCUGUGGCUCAGUUGGUAGAGCACUGACCCAACAAUGCAGAGGUCGUGGGUUCGAAUCCCAGGGAAAACA